rnacentral:lncRNA from 9 species
GAUAAAGUUUUGGGAUUUUGAGUGGGAUUGCAUUGAAUCAAUGAAUGAAUUUGAAGAUAACUGAUAUUUUAUAAUAUUGAAUCUUUCUCCAGUUAAGUCUUUUUAAAUGUCUUAGGUUCUGUUUUUUUUUUUACCUUAGCAGUUUUACACAUCUUUCGCUGGAUUUAUUGCUUGGCAGUUCAGAUUUUUUAUACUGUUGCAAAUCUUAUUGUUUUUAAGAUUUAAUUUUCUGUUUGACAUCUAUAGAGACAUUUAGUUGGUUUUCCUGCAUUGCUAACUGAUUUUUCUCCAUCGUGAAACUCUCCACACGGCUUAUCUGUAAAUACGUUGCAUAUUCUAGUCUUAUACUGUUUAUAUCUUUCUUCCAUUACACUGGCUGGGCUCCAUAUACUGUUGACUGGCAUGGUGGACAUCCUUGUCCAGCUCCUAAUUUCAAAGGCAAAAUUGGUGCAUUUAACCAGUAGGUUGGAUGUUUGCUAUAGCAGUUUUUAGGGAAGGAGUGGAUCAUUUAAUGAAGAGGAAAGACAUAAUCUUGUAUUCCUACUUUUCCGAGGGUCUUGAAUCAUGAACAUGGAGUUUUACUAAGUAAAUUUUCUGCAUUUAUUGGGAAGAUUGUAUGAUUUUUCUGCUUUAGACUGUUAAUGUGAGAAAUUAAAUUCCUAGCUUUCAGUGUGUUAAACCAACUUAGUAUGUGGGAUAAAAUCAACUUGAUAUUGUAUAUGUCAGUGAUUUCAGCUGCUGACAUUUGGGGGUGGUAUCUGUGUUCUUGAGAGAGGUGAGUUUGAUUUUUCUUCCUUUCUGAUUCCAUCUUUGUUGUUAAAAUAAGGCCUUGAAAUAUUUAGUGUCAUUCUGAAGUUCCCCGAGGAAUAGAAAUUCUUUUUGAUGUGAAAGGUACCAUUGCAUUGAAGUAGAACUAUUUACCCAUGCAUGUAGUUCAAGAAAUAGCAAAUAUUUGGAAUUGAUUUCCCUUGGAAAAUUUCACAUCAUGUUCAGAAUGUUUCAUUUUGGCUAAUAAUGAGAAAAUUCCUUUAUGUACAUUGUCCCAUGGGGGGAAAAAAAAGGGUUCCUUUCAAAAUCUUUACAGGAAUGUUGUUGACAUGUAUGUAAUGGCCUCCUCCUUUGAUGAACCAAUUUUCAAAAGAUAAUUAGAUUUAAAACUUGGCCAUGAUUCCAUUUCACUCUCCAAACUGAAUGUCAUCGUGCAAAGGGCUUUCCUUGUCUUGGAUAACCCGUGACACUAACAUUUGAGUAUGAGUCAGUAAUUGAGUGGUGUGUUUCUAAAGAUAGUUUUUGGAAGCAAAAGAUGAGUGAGUGAAGAGAGUAAAAUCUAGAUAAAAGCCACACCAUGUAAAAUAUAUGUUAUCAUUUUGAUUGAUGCUAAUUAACUUUCCAGGGCAUACAUCUCUUUCUCUAUCAACAUAUUCUUUGAGUUCAGAAACCACCUGGAAACCCUGAAGAUAGAACUUGCUUAGCUGUAGCGACACUUGGAUCCCUGAUGAUAACCCCCACCCCAAAUUUCUGAAAUAGUGUUGGGAAGGACAGAGAGGCAGGUAGCCAGUCUGAGAAAAGAUUCCUACCUCACAGAAGUGGCUGCGCAGGUGAGUAUAGAUGUAUAAACAGAUCCUGCUCACAAUGGAAACAAAUGGAUAUUAAGGAACCCGGAAUCUGUCAGAAAGAAAAUUAAAGUGCACUACAGUGGUUUUAGUGAAAACUGGGUACUAAUAUCACUUACUGCAAACAUGUGAUAGUUAUAUAAGUGGUGUUCUCAUUUUUUGCAGUUGUGAUAAGCCGAUUAGGGAAAUGUUCGGGUGUUAGAAUAAGAGGGUGCAUUCCGGCUGCUGUUGAACAGGCUGACGGGGACCAGGAUGGAGGAGGGCUGGCUGGGAGGAGGCUGCUGCAGGCUGAUGGUGAGAGACCAGGAGCAGUGAGCGAGGGCGGGAUGACUUAUUGAUGUAUUUUUUUUUUGUCUUUUUCCCAGAGCUGCACUAGCAGCAUAAGGAGGUUCUUAGGCUAGGGGUCUAAUUGGAGCUGUAGCUGUCAGCCUACACCGCAGCCACAGUAACUCGGGAUCCGAGCCACAUCUGUGACCUACACCACAGCUCAUGGCAACGCCAGAUCCUCAACCCACUGAGUAAGGCCAGGGAUCAAACCCUCAACCUCAUGGUUCCUAGUCGUAUUUGUUAACCACUGAGGCACGCAGGAACUCCUAUGGAUGUAUUUUUAAAGGCACAGUGAUGAGACCAGCUGAAGAAUUGGGUGUGGGAGGCAAAGGGGAAUCCAGCCCUCACAGUCUGGCCUGUUCCCUUGCACCCGACUCCACCACUUAGAAUGCUUUGCCAGCCUGUGAUUUUGUGCUCCUUUCCAAGGGAUGUUGGAGUUGAGGCUUCAGGCUGUUUGCUGGGCAGACGUGGCCCUCCUCUGCGGAGACGGGAGGUUUGUUUACAGCACACCUGCCCACAGGUGUCACUAGCUUUGCCUUGGAUUGACUUGAAAUGCCUGCACCUGGUUCGGUUUUAGUUUACGUCUGGAAGCUUCACAGUGUUUGCCUUUCAUCUCUGCAUCGACCUGGAAAUUUUGAAGUCUUUUUGAGGUUAGAUUUGCUUCAGGAUAAAUGGGGCAUUAAUGUGGCUGGUGCAGCUCGGCGUGUUGGCACUGAAGGUGCUGUUCUAGAAGAAAGAGAGAAUCUGUUGGUUUGUGCCUGCUUGUGGGAGAGAGGAGCUUGCAUACAGAACAGCUCCCAUAAUGCAGCAUUGCAAGGUGCCAGCUCAUUAAAUGGCCCAGAGGACAGCGCUGUUGGAGGGCAGUGUCCCUUCUGUGGUGCAGUGACACUGAGUCUUGACUCUGAAUUGAUGCCGAAGGCAGAUCCGUUGAGUUUUGUGAAUACUGAUUUCGGCUGUUUUUUCCCCAUCCCCUUAGGAAAUCCAAGGAACGCAUGUUCAAUCAGGAUUUCUUCUCUGAUGAAAUAUUCCUUUUCAUGUAAUCUCUUAACGUAGGUUGUUGUCUGUACUUCUCGUCCAACUUUGGUAUUAUUAUUUCUGUUCUUAUCUUUGAGGGAAAAAGACACCACAGACUAGACAUUCCAGAUGGCUGGUUUUAAAAUGUGUUUUCAGAGGCAGAAUGAAGAUGAGCAUUUUACUUCUUCAGUGUGGGACCACCCCUCCCCCAACGGCUGAGUUACCGCAAAGCAGACAUCCGUCUUUUUAGGCAGCGUCUAUAGGGCGACAGUACAUUUCAUUCUGAAAGCGAACAUGAGUGGAAGCAGAUCAAACCACCUGUUCCGUGCCAGGUGCGUUCUGGAUGGGUAGGGUUUGGAGGAGGAGCCAGCAUCUUAGCUACAGGGAGGGUUUGAGGGCUCAUGGAAUUUCCAGUUGAGCUAGCGUCAAGGUCUGGUUUUAGCCCCUUAUUAGCCCUGUGGGGUUAUGCAUCCAUCUACUGCAUAGGCUUCCCUUACUUAGAGCUGAGAGUACUCCCAGUGGCGUAGGUAAUCUUGAGAAGGGUGAGUCAUGGCACUUUACAGUGGACCUCUCUCACGCAUCUGCUAAAUUUGUCAGUUUCCUCCUUCACACGCUGCCUUCCAGCUUCCGUGACACCAGCCCUUCCUGGGUCUCUGUUGCAGGCUCCUCCUACCAUCUGAUGCUCUCUAGCGUUUAUCCUUGGUCUGCUCCUUUCAUCCCACUGCAUUUGCUUCCCAGAUGGUCUCCCUCCCAGGCCUGUCUUUAACUGGCCUUUGGACAGAUGGCCCUGAGCUGUCAGCUCUAGCCCUGCCCCUGCCUUCAGCUUUGACCUGUGUCUCCAUGUCUGGUCAGUCAUUUCUUCCUGGGUGUUCACCUUAUCCUCGCCAGCAUCCCGACCAGAUUCUUCAUUCUGACUCAGCUUAGUCUGCUGGUGGCCUCGUCGUCAGUCCCCUAGUCAGCCUCACUGCAACAGUGCAUCAUUAACCUAGUUAUGCAUUUGUCUUAUAACAAAGCUUCUUUUAAAAUUUCUAUCCAAGUAGCCCAUAGUUUUAAAAAAAAUAGUGCAGAAUGGCUUAGGGAGUUCCCGUUGUGGCUCAUUGGGUUAAGAACCUGACAUAGUGUUCAUGAGGACCCGGGUUUGAUCCCUGGCCUCGCUCAGUGGGUUAAGGAUCCGGUGUUGCCACAGGCUGCAGCAUAUAGGUCACAGGUGUGACUUGGAUUCGGUGUCACUGUGGCUGUGGUGCAGGCCAGCAGCUGCAGCUCUGAUCUAUCCCUAGCCUGGGAACUUCUAUAUGCAGACCUAAAAAAAAAAUAGUGCAGAAUGGGUUGGAAUAAAAUAGCAAUGGCUCUCUUGCCUCCACCUCCCAGCCCCCCUCACUUCUUCCAAGGAAACCCUUUUAAAACCUCUAACUGCUUCUUCUGGUGAUUAUUGCCGUAAAUCUGGGCUCUGCACUUAGGCUGUUAUGUCCUCAUUCAUCGGGUGAAACAGUGUCCAUGGGUUUCUUGCCAUACUUUCCCAUCUUCUCCCCCUUUACCCAUCAUCGCUGUAUCACAAAUUUGAAUUCCCCUUUUUCAGGAGUGUAAGGGAUCAAGUUAUAUUGUGUCUCUUGCUUCAUCCUUCCAGAUGGAAUCACCUGGUCCCCGACCUGUAACACGAGUCCCAGCGCCUCUCGCCCUUUUCCCCUCCCCUCCUGUCAUGUGCAUGGACUUUCCUGUUGCCCAUAUUGAUACUUGACAAACUGAUGCAUUGAUUUGCCCUUAGAGCUUUGAGACACUUUGGUGUCAGGCAUCAUCGGUGAGCCUGAUAUCAAUUUAAUGGUCUUUGUAGGUGUUCUGUGUUUUCUCUUUGGAAACUUUUUUUUUUUUUUGGCUUUUUAGGGCCGCAUCUGUGGCAUAUGGAUGUUCCAAGGCUAAGGGUCGGAGCUGUAGCUGCUGGCCUACACCACAGCCACAGCAAUGCCAGAUCCAAGCUGUGUCUUUGACCUAUACCACAGCUCAUGGCACCGCCAGAUCCUUAACCCCAAAGUGAGGCCAGGGAUCAAACCCACAUCCUCAUGGAUACCCUCGUGCAUGUGGUGGAACCCACAUCCACCACCGUGUCGUGAUCCUGAGCCAUGACAGGAACUCCCUCUUUGGAAAUCUUUAGCAGGUUCUCUUUCACUCUGAGGUUCUGAAAUUUCUCCCUAUUGUGUUCAGGAGCAUGUGUGUGUUUUAUUUCAUUAAUUUUCCCAUUUCCCUUGCUAAUUUUCUCCCACUUUCUCUAGAACUUCUCUUAGAUGAUAUACAAUUGGACAAACUGGAAGCUAUCUUUUAGAUGCCUGUGUUUAUCUAUAUUCUAGAUGGUUUUCUCUGCUUUAUCAUCCAGCCUUUUAUUGAUUAGAAAAUUUGUGUUCCUGUGUAUUUUUUUUGUUCUGUGAUUGAUUUUUUCCAAGACAUCCUGUACUUAUGGAUGCGAUAUUUUUCUCAGCUCUCUGAGAAUAAUAUUAACAUCUUAAAAACCUCUUUUAAAGGUACAGAGGAGUUUCCAUCAUGGCUCAGCACUAAUGAACCCAACUAGUAUUCAUGAGGAAGUGGGUUCGAUCCUUGGCCUCACUCAGUGGGUCAGGGAUCCAGCACUGCCAUGAACUGUGGUGUAGGUGCAGACUCAGCUCGGAUCCCAUGUGGUUGUGGCUGUGGCAUAGGCUGGCAGCUGUAGUUCUGAUUUGACCCCUAGCCUGGGAACUUUCAUAUGCCAUGGGUGCGGCUGUGGAAAAAAAAAAA